rnacentral:tRNA from 1 species
GGUAAAAUGGCCGAGUUUUAGGCGAUAAAUUGUAAAUUUAUUUACGAAGAUUAUUCUUUUACC